rnacentral:rRNA from 1 species
GACGAACGCUGGCGGCAUGCCUAAUACAUGCAAGUCGAGCGAACAGAUGAAGUGCUUGCACUUCUGACGUUAGCGGCGAGCGGGUGAGUAACACGUAAGGAAUCUACCUAUAAGCGGGGGAUAACAUUCGGAAACGGGUGCUAAUACCGCAUAAUAUCUUCUUCCGCAUGGAAGAAGAUUGAAAGACGGCUCUGCUGUCACUUAUAGAUGACCUUGCGGUGCAUUAGUUAGUUGGUGGGGUAAUGGCCUACCAAGACGAUGAUGCAUAGCCGACCUGAGAGGGUGAUCGGACACAUUGGGACUGAAACACGGCCCAAACUCCUACGGGAGGCAGCAGUAGGGAAUCUUCCGCAAUGGGCGAAAGCCUGACGGAGCAAUGCCGCGUGAGUGAAGAAGGCCUUCGGGUCGUAAAACUCUGUUAUAAGAGAAGAACAAAUUGUAGAGUAACUGCUACAGUCUUGACGGUAUCUUAUCAGAAAGCCACGGCUAACUACGUGCCAGCCGCCGCAGUAA